UAGCGUAAGCGAAGCUCCUGAUCGAAGCCCCAGUAAACGGCGGCCGUAACUAUAACGGUCCUAAGGUAGCGAAAUUCCUUGUCGGGUAAGUUCCGACCUGCACGAAUGGCGUAAUGAUGGCCAGGCUGUCUCCACCCGAGACUCAGUGAAAUUGAACUCGCUGUGAAGAUGCAGUGUACCCGCGGCAAGACGGAAAGACCCCGUGAACCUUUACUAUAGCUUGACACUGAACAUUGAGCCUUGAUGUGUAGGAUAGGUGGGAGGCUUUGAAGUGUGGACGCCAGUCUGCAUGGAGCCAACCUUGAAAUACCACCCUUUAACGUUUGAUGUUCUAACCUAGGCCCAUAAACUGGGUCGGGGACCGUGUCUGGUGGGUAGUUUGACUGGGGCGGUCUCCUCCUAAAGAGUAACGGAGGAGCACGAAGGUUGGCUAAGCAUGGUCGGACAUCAUGCGGUUAGUGCAAAGGCAUAAGCCAGCUUGACUGCGAGAGUGACGGCUCGAGCAGGUACGAAAGUAGGUCUUAGUGAUCCGGUGGUUCUGAAUGGAAGGGCCAUCGCUCAACGGAUAAAAGGUACUCCGGGGAUAACAGGCUGAUACCGCCCAAGAGUUCAUAUCGACGGCGGUGUUUGGCACCUCGAUGUCGGCUCAUCACAUCCUGGGGCUGAAGUAGGUCCCAAGGGUAUGGCUGUUCGCCAUUUAAAGUGGUACGCGAGCUGGGUUUAGAACGUCGUGAGACAGUUCGGUCCCUAUCUGCCGUGGGCGUUGGAAGAUUGAGAGGGGUUGCUCCUAGUACGAGAGGACCGGAGUGAACGCACCACUGGUGUUCGGGUUGUCAUGCCAAUGGCAUUGCCCGGUAGCUAAGUGCGGAAGAGAUAACCGCUGAAAGCAUCUAAGCGGGAAACUUGCC
rnacentral:rRNA from 1 species